rfam:Otolemur garnettii contig008386, whole genome shotgun sequence.
UGUCUCCCAGCCUGAGGUGCAGUGCUGCAUCUCUGGUCAGUUGGGAGUCUGAGAUGAAGCACUGUAGCUCGGGAAGGGAGAAGU